UAUGACGUCAUCAUCGGUGUCGGUCCCAUUGACCACACUGGCAUUACUUCUGGCGAGUUGUACUCCAGCCGAAGCAUCCUCUGGCACUCCCGUCAUCGCCAGCGCGUUUGCCGCAUACGGACACUACCUGUCCCUACUAGUCAUCACGGGUGCCCUCAUGGUA
rnacentral:ribozyme from 1 species